GCAGUAGGAGUUCACUGGUAGAAUUCUCAACUUCCAUGCAGGAGACCUAGGUUCGAUUCCUAGCCAAUGCA
rnacentral:tRNA from 1 species